AACGAACGCUGGCGGCAUGCCUAAUACAUGCAAGUCGAACGAGAUCUUCGGAUCUAGUGGCGCACGGGUGCGUAACGCGUGGGAAUCUGCCCUUGGGUUCGGAAUAACUUCUGGAAACGGAAGCUAAUACCGGAUGAUGACGUAAGUCCAAAGAUUUAUCGCCCAAGGAUGAGCCCGCGUAGGAUUAGGUAGUUGGUGAGGUAAAGGCUCACCAAGCCGACGAUCCUUAGCUGGUCUGAGAGGAUGAUCAGCCACACUGGGACUGAGACACGGCCCAGACUCCUACGGGAGGCAGCAGUAGGGGAUAUUGGACCAUGGGCGAAAGCCUGAUCCAGCAAUGCCGCGUGAGUGAUGAAGGCCUUAGGGUUGUAAAGCUCUUUUACCCGGGAUGAUAAUGACAGUACCGGGAGAAUAAGCUCCGGCUAACUCCGUG
rnacentral:rRNA from 1 species